rnacentral:tRNA from 1 species
GAGGGUAUAGCUCAGUAGUAGAGCACGUGCUUAGCAUGCACGAGGUCCUGGGUUCAAUCCUCAGUAUCUCCA